AUUGAACGCUGGCGGCAUGCCUUACACAUGCAAGUCGAACGGCAGCACGGGUGCUUGCACCUGGUGGCGAGUGGCGAACGGGCGAGUAAUACAUCGGAACAUGUCCUGUAGUGGGGGAUAGCCCGGCGAAAGCCGGAUUAAUACCGCAUACGAUCUACGGAUGAAAGCGUGGGACCUUCGGGCCUCGCGCUAUAGGGUUGGCCGAUGGCUGAUUAGCUAGUUGGUGGGGUAAAGGCCUACCAAGGCGACGAUCAGUAGCUGGUCUGAGAGGACGACCAGCCACACUGGGACUGAGACACGGCCCAGACUCCUACGGGAGGCAGCAGUGGGGAAUUUUGGACAAUGGGCGAAAGCCUGAUCCAGCAAUGCCGCGUGUGUGAAGAAGGCCUUCGGGUUGUAAAGCACUUUUGUCCGGAAAGAAAUCCUUGGCCCUAAUACGGUCGGGGGAUGACGGUACCGGAAGAAUAAGCACCGGCUAACUACGUG
rnacentral:rRNA from 1 species